rnacentral:sRNA from 1 species
CCAGGGGCUGACGCCCCUGGCUAGUGGCUGCCGUCCCUCCGGGACU